GGAAAACACUGUGGCUCAGUGGUAGAGCACUUCCUUGAAUGCAGAGGAACCCAGGAUCAAUCCCUGCCAUUUGCA